AUGGCUAUUUAUUGGAUUUACGACUUUGGAGUUGACUUUUGAGAAGUAAUAAAUGGAGAUUUCAGACUUUUUAUUUAUUUAAGUUAUUUUGGAAAAUACGGGUGUUACAAUUUGGUAUCAGAGCGGGGUUCCGUCCCGGCUCUGACCCGGGACGGCGAUUUAUGGGACUCGGAUUACAGCGGUUUUCAAUGUUUGUUGGGGAUUGGGAAUUUCAAAAUAAAAGUGACACUCUUCUGUCCAGAAUCAUUAGUUUAGUAGUUAGCGUUUCUGACUUUUUCUUUUGGUGUGGAUGAAAAUCAAGUUUCUGUUUGUUUCCUUUUGUUUUCAUCUCGUGUUCUUCUCUCCUUCGUAUUCGUUGAAGUUUUUCUCGGGUUCCGUCUUGGAAUUCGGGACGAAUUCCGAUUAAGUGGGGAAGAAUUGUAACGACCGUGUCCCAAAGUGGGAAAGCCCAUUUGUUUUUAUUAAUUAAAACCCAAAACCCAUCUUUUUAUUUUGUCCCACAUUGGAAGUUUAGAAAACCUACCUCCCUUCCCUUCUCUUAUAUAAGAAACUCCACCCUUUCUCUUUAUUCUCAUCAAGUCAAAGUAUUUCUUUGCGUGUGACGAGUUGUUGUUGAAUUAUUCGACGACUAGUCACUAGUGAAUUUUCUGGUGGGAUUUCCGGGUGAGCUUCCGGCGAGAUUUCUGGGCGAGCUUCCGGCGGGAUUUCUGGACGAGCUUCCGGCGGAUUUUUCUAUUGACCUCAGUUGACCGCAUCUUCCGUUGUUUAUUUCCUGCCAGUGGCUAAGGUGAGACUGACGAGCAGGAGUGAUUGCGAUCGGACUGGUGCUUUGGGAGUUUUAUUUCUUUCUUUUUCAGACUUGCGGAUUUUAUGCUUUUAUCGAUAUUUUCGGGAUUUAUUAUGUUAUUUGGAUUUAUGGCUAUUUAUUGGAUUUACGACUUUGGAGUUGACUUUUGAGAAGUAAUAAAUGGAGAUUUCAGACGUUUUAUUUAUUUAAGUUAUUUUGGAAAAUACGGGUGUUACAAUUUGGUAUCAGAGCGGGGUUCCGUCCCGGCUCUGACCCGGGACGACGAUUUAUGGGACUCGGAUUUCAGCGGUUUUCAAUGUUUGUUGGGGAUUGGGAAUUUCAAAAUAAAAGUGACACUCUUCUGUCCAGAAUCAUUAGUUUAGUAGUUAGUGUUUCUGACUUUUUCUUUUGGUGUGGAUGAAAAUCAAGUUUCUGUUUGUUUCCUUUUGUUUUCAUCUCGUGUUCUUCUCUCCUUCGUAUUCGUUGAAGUUUUUCUCGGGUUCCGUCUUGGAAUUCGGGACGAAUUCCGAUUAAGUGGGGAAGAAUUGUAACGACCGGGACCCAAAGUGGGAAAGCCCAUUUGUUUUUAUUAAUUAAAACCCAAAACUCAUCUUUUUAUUUUGUCCCACAUUGGAAGUUUAGAAAACCUACCUCCCUUCCCUUCUCUUAUAUAAGAAACUCCACCCUUUCUCUUUAUUCUCAUCAAGUCAAAGUAUUUCUUUGCGUGUGACGAGUUGUUGUUGAAUUAUUCGACGACUAGUCACUAGUGAAUUUUCUGGUGGGAUUUCCGGGUGAGCUUCCGGCGAGAUUUCUGGGCGAGCUUCCGGCGGGAUUUCUGGACGAGCUUCCGGCGGAUUUUUCUAUUGACCUCAGUUGACCGCAUCUUCCGUUGUUUAUUUCCUGCCAGUGGCUAAGGUGAGGGUCUAUUCCGUAAAUUCCGUACCAGUGUAGAAUUCUCUCUAUCGUAGUUUAGAUUUCGAAUCAUGAUCCGUCUGUUUGAAUUGAGUCUUGAUUGUUAGUUAGUUCAUUCACUGUAAACUGGAAUUAGGGGUCUAGAGGAUUCAACCGUUGAUUGAUUGAGUGAUGUUAAGAGAUGCGAUAUAUAUAUGUAUGUACACAUAGCUAUGAGUAGGGACUAUGUGCGCGGGCGGGGGCUCAGAGAUGUCUGGGCUAGCGACGCUACUUUGAUUGUGCGGGCAGGGGUUCAGAGACGUCUGGACUUGCGAUGCUACUUGUGCGGGCGUGUGGUGCGGAGACGUUUGUACCAUGGACGCUACUUGAGAGGGCGGGGGUACAGAGACAAACUGUACUAGCGACGCUACGUAUUAUAUAUCCAUAUGAGGAGAUGCGGGGUGUAUGGACUAGCUAUAUC